UUACAAAAGAAUAUUGAUUGUCAUGUGUCACAUUCUGAUUGGAUGAUAACUGUCAUGUGUUAGGUUUUGAUUUAAUAUUGACUCUAUGGACGAUGAAAAUGUAUUGUUGUUGUCAACGUUCAAUUAGAACGUGACAUGUGAUUGUCAUCGUCCAAUCAGAAUGUGACAUGUGACAGUCAACAUUCUUUUGUAA
rnacentral:pre_miRNA from 1 species